CUUUUCUGAAAAGUGAAAAACAACAAUCUUAAAGAGUUUCAUUUGUGGUCUUCCCAAAUCCCAUAUCGAUCAUCAAUGUGACAUAUUUUAUAUUGGAUGACAUUUUAUUGGAUGGAGCCAUGCAGGAGACUAGCAAGAGAACUACCCUGAGACUGAUGAUAAAUGCACAGGAGGAUUCAGUGGAAACUGCCAAAGAGGAAGCCAGCUCAUUGAGUAAUAUAAUCGCUCAAGCCACCAAGUAAGAGCAUCAUUGGGGA